GCACUGCUGUUGAGUCCCACAAUAGGACGAAACGGUCGUCCAGUAC
rfam:Schistosoma curassoni strain Dakar, Senegal genome assembly, scaffold: SCTD_scaffold0005067